CGCUAAGAAGCUAAACUGGACCCUUAGCGUCAGCCUUUUAAGCUGAAGAUUGGUGCCUUCCAACCACCCCUAGCGA
rnacentral:tRNA from 1 species